UACGUAGGAUGCAAGCGUUGUCCGGAUUUACUGGGCGUAAAGGGCGCGUAGGCGGCAUGACAAGUCACUUGUGAAAUCUCCGGGCUUAACUCGGAACGGUCAAGUGAUACUGUCGCGCUAGAGUGCGAAAGGGGCAAUCAGAAUUCUUGGUGUAGCGGUGAAAUGCGUAGAUAUCAAGAGGAAUACCUGAGGUGAAGACGGGUUGCUAGGCCGACACUGACGCUGAAGCGCGAAAGCCAGGGGAGCAAACGGG
rnacentral:rRNA from 1 species